AUGGGGUGCACACCUCUUACGGCUUACGCAUUUCACCUCCCACGUAUUCUCCUGAGUCUCGCGUUGAGCUUAAUUUGUUGCGGACAUUGCGUAUUACCAUGUGAUCUACACAUUCAGUCUGAUUCGCGAGACACAGAAACAGAACGGUUCUCUCAUUCAGAAUGGUGCCCUCGGGAAAUGCUAAAGGCGCAUCCACUCCUGGGCAUAUCAUCGACGGCCCAGAAAAAUCCAGAAAACUCUCCUUUCGGGAAAGUCCUCCGCAGCAAAACGUUUGUGGACCGGACUCUCCUGAUCGAAUACGUCAUCGAAAAGGUACCCUCCCUACUGUACAUCACUGCUCCCCGGAAGUUCGGCAAGACAACCAACUUACACAUGCUGAACACGUUCUUCAACCCUAGUCUCAUCCCCAAUCCCCAUCAAAAGCCGGCGGGAGAAAAGUACCACCCCUCGUUCUCAACGCCCCUA
rnacentral:lncRNA from 1 species